AUCUUUGAAAGCUUCCCAUUCGCCGUCGCCAUCUCUGACUCUGACAACGACAAUGUAUACGAAUGUCUAUCAACGAGAAGAAUGUGGAUAAAGCCGGAAGAAAAAAAGGGCGAAUACGUUUGGUUUCUCCAAGGGAAUCAUGACAACCGAAAGCGAACCAUCAGCUUUUAUGUAUUCAAGGGAACCAGCCCCGACACAUUCCUUUUUACAGUGGGCUCAGAUGAGGCACUUUCAAGCCAAGCAAAGUUCCACUACACAGACUACGAGAACUGUGCGGUCCUAGACCUUCCAUACAACGGACGCCCGCGCAACCAUUUCUACCAGUGGACGACUUCUCAACGCGACAGACAGUGACGGCGGUGGAGGUCACCUCAGUGAAAGAUAAGCAAAUCUUGGAAAGAACGAAGCGACUUUAAAGGAGAGGAGAAUAAGAGAGGACACCGCUGGUGCGACAGCUUCAAGCUGAGGCAUGGUGCAACCGCUCUCUCCUGCAGCAGCAGAAGGGUUAGGAGCUGUGGUAGGGGUACAGCUGGUUUUUGUCGGCGUCCAGGUGAAGAGCGAGUGGGUUGAAGACGUGGAAGUUGGGACUUCUGACUUCUUCCCACGUCAUGUCCAGGGUGUUGGACGUCGAUGAGGCUGGAGUGCGAUGUUCCCAUGAGGAGCUAGAGGUGGAGGAUAUUUUCGUCUCGUUGUUGCUGCGAAAGGUUCGUCCCUCGCAGGAAGCCAUGGUCGGGGCAGGACAGGACGAAAACCGGGAGUCACCUUCCCUUCUCUCAGAGCCUGGGAGAGGGUCGUAGCGACUUGGCUGUGGUUCUUCUGAGGCCGGGGUUUGCGCUUCCCGCGCGCAGGCUUUGACGGUGCCUGCUGCUGAUGAGUGGACACCGAUGGCAAGGUUGCCGUGACGGCUUCCUGCUGGUUCACCUUGUCGGGGACUUGUGCUGGAGUCUGUCACCCUUAAAAGAGUGCAUUUUGUGGAGCACGGAAAAAAGCAAGAACUCUCUACCUCAGAAGUGCCUGGAUGAGUUUGAGAAAUAUUGUCGUGCUGGCAUACCACUUUACGGGAAAGCACUUUGCAGUGACGAUGAAGUCGCUGAAUGGUGAUGCAUGCUUUGGAGAAAGAAAUGAACACAAUGUGUGGCCACCGGAGUGAAAGACCUUAGUAUAUGUCUGUUGCAGGAUGAUGCACAAAGCUUAAAUAGACUUCGAAAAAGGUAAUGAAA